UACGUAGGGGGCAAGCGUUGUCCGGAAUCAUUGGGCGUAAAGAGCGUGUAGGCGGCCAGAAAAGUCCGCUGUGAAAACUCGAGGCUCAACUUCGAGCUGUCGGUGGAAACUUUCUGGCUAGAGUCCGGAAGAGGAGAAUGGAAUUCCUGGUGUAGCGGUGAAAUGCGCAGAUAUCAGGAAGAACACCCGUGGCGAAGGCGGCUCACUGGCCCGUUACCGACGCUCAGGCGCGACAGCGUGGGGAGCAAACAGG
rnacentral:rRNA from 1 species